GACGAACGCUGGCGGCGUGCUUAACACAUGCAAGUCGAACGGAAAGGCCCUGCUUUUGUGGGGUGCUCGAGUGGCGAACGGGUGAGUAACACGUGAGUAACCUGCCCUUGACUUUGGGAUAACUUCAGGAAACUGGGGCUAAUACCGGAUAGGAGCUCCUGCUGCAUGGUGGGGGUUGGAAAGUUUCGGCGGUUGGGGAUGGACUCGCGGCUUAUCAGCUUGUUGGUGGGGUAGUGGCUUACCAAGGCUUUGACGGGUAGCCGGCCUGAGAGGGUGACCGGCCACAUUGGGACUGAGAUACGGCCCAGACUCCUACGGGAGGCAGCAGUGGGGAAUAUUGCACGAUGGGCGGAAGCCUGAUGCAGCAACGCCGCGUGCGGGAUGACGGCCUUCGGGUUGUAAACCGCUUUCGCCUGUGACGAAGCGUGAGUGACGGUAAUGGGUAAAGAAGCACCGGCUAACUACGUGCCAGCAGCCGCGGUGAUACGUAGGGUGCGAGCGUUGUCCGGAUUUAUUGGGCGUAAAGGGCUCGUAGGUGGUUGAUCGCGUCGGAAGUGUAAUCUUGGGGCUUAACCCUGAGCGUGCUUUCGAUACGGGUUGACUUGAGGAAGGUAGGGGAGAAUGGAAUUCCUGGUGGAGCGGUGGAAUGCGCAGAUAUCAGGAGGAACACCAGUGGCGAAGGCGGUUCUCUGGGCCUUUCCUGACGCUGAGGAGCGAAAGCGUGGGGAGCGAACAGGCUUAGAUACCCUGGUAGUCCACGCUGUAAACGGUGGGUACUAGGUGUGGGGUCCAUUCCACGGGUUCCGUGCCGUAGCUAACGCUUUAAGUACCCCGCCUGGGGAGUACGGCCGCAAGGCUAAAACUCAAAGGAAUUGACGGGGCCCCGCACAAGCGGCGGAGCAUGCGGAUUAAUUCGAUGCAACGCGUAGAACCUUACCUGGGUUUGACAUGGAUCGGGAGUGCUCAGAGAUGGGUGUGCCUCUUUUGGGGUCGGUUCACAGGUGGUGCAUGGCUGUCGUCAGCUCGUGUCGUGAGAUGUUGGGUUAAGUCCCGCAACGAGCGCAACCCUUGUUCACUGUUGCCAGCACGUUAUGGUGGGGACUCAGUGGAGACCGCCGGGGUCAACUCGGAGGAAGGUGGGGAUGACGUCAAGUCAUCAUGCCCCUUAUGUCCAGGGCUUCACGCAUGCUACAAUGGCUGGUACAGAGAGUGGCGAGCCUGUGAGGGUGAGCGAAUCUCGGAAAGCCGGUCUCAGUUCGGAUUGGGGUCUGCAACUCGACCUCAUGAAGUCGGAGUCGCUAGUAAUCGUAGAUCAGCAACGCUGCGGUGAAUACGUUCCCGGG
rnacentral:rRNA from 1 species